rnacentral:rRNA from 1 species
UACGAAGGGGGCUAGCGUUGCUCGGAAUCACUGGGCGUAAAGCGCACGUAGGCGGAUUGUUAAGUCAGGGGUGAAAUCCUGGAGCUCAACUCCAGAACUGCCUUUGAUACUGGCGAUCUUGAGUCCGGGAGAGGUGAGUGGAACUCCGAGUGUAGAGGUGAAAUUCGUAGAUAUUCGCAAGAACACCAGUGGCGAAGGCGAACUCACUGGACACGUAUUGACGCUGAGGUGCGAAAGCGUGGGGAGCAAACAGG